rnacentral:tRNA from 1 species
UCUCUUGUAGGUUAUGGUACUUAAACCUCCGAUUUGUGGUGUCGGCAAAUCCUGAACGGACGAAAGAA